CUGCAUGGCUGUCGUCAGCUCGUGUCGUGAGAUGUUGGGUUAAGUCCGCAACGAGCGCAACCCUUGUCAUUAGUUGCUACAAAGGGGCACUCUAAUGAGACUGCCGGUGACAAACCGGAGGAAGGUGGGGAUGACGUCAAGUCCUCAUGGCCCUUAUAGGUGGGGCUACACACGUCAUACAAUGGCUGGUACAAAGGGUUGCCAACCCGCGAGGGGGAGCCAAUCCCAUAAAGCCAGUCGUAGUCCGGAUCGCAGUCUGCAACUCGACUGCGUGAAGUCGGAAUCGCUAGUAAUCGUGGAUCAGCAUGUCACGGUGAAUACGUUCCCGGGUCUU
rnacentral:rRNA from 1 species